rnacentral:rRNA from 1 species
GAACGCUGGCGGCGUGCCUAACACAUGCAAGUCGAACGAAGAGGCUCCUUCGGGAGUACUUCAGUGGCGGACGGGUGAGUAACACGUAGGUGACCUACCCCAAAGCGGGGGAUAACAGUCCGAAAGGAUUGCUAAUACCCCAUGUGGUCGGCGAGGUUAGAGUCUUGUCGACUAAAGGAGCAAUCCGCUUUGGGAGGGGCCUGCGCCCCAUCAGCUAGUUGGUAGGGUAAUGGCCUACCAAGGCAACAACGGGUAGGGGGCCUGAGAGGGUGACCCCCCACAUUGGCACUGACACACGGGCCAAACUCCUACGGGAGGCAGCAGUGAGGAAUAUUGCUCAAUGGGCGAAAGCCUGAAGCAGCAACGCCGCGUGCGCGAUGAAGGCCUUCGGGUCGUAAAGCGCUUUUGAGAGGGACGAGACAGGACGGUACCUCUUGAAUAAGUCACGGCUAACUACGUGCCAGCAGCCGCGGUAAAACGUAGGUGGCAAGCGUUAUCCGGAUUCACUGGGCGUAAAGCGCGUGCAGGUGGCUCUGUAAGUUGGAUGUGAAAUUUCCCGGCUUAACCGGGAAGGGUCAUUCAAUACUGCGGGGCUUGAGGGCAGAAGAGGGGGGUGGAAUUGCCGGUGUAGUGGUGAAAUGCGUAGAUAUCGGCAGGAACACCUGUGGCGAAAGCGGCCCCCUGGUCUGCUCCUGACACUCAGACGCGAAAGCUAGGGGAGCGAACGGGAUUAGAAACCCCGGUAGUCCUAGCCGUAAACGAUGGAUGCUAGGUGUAGGUGGUAUUGACCCCAUCUGUGCCGAAGCCAACGCGUUAAGCAUCCCGCCUGGGGACUACGGCCGCAAGG